AAUCAACGCUGGCGGCGUGCCUCAGACAUGCAAGUCGAACGAUUAAAGCUCUCUUCGGAGAGUGCAUAGAGUGGCGCACGGGUGAGUAACACGUAAGUAAUCUACAUCCGAGUGGGGAAUAACGUCCGGAAACGGAAUCUAAUACCGCAUAAGGCAGCGGCAUCAAAAGAUGACGGUUGUUAAAGAUUUAUCGCGUGAAGAGGAGCUUGCGGCAGAUUAGCUAUCUGGGCGAGUAAUGGCUUACCAAGGCAACGAUCUGUAACAGGUCUUAGAGCACGGUCGGUCACACUGACACUGAAUAACGGGUCAGACUCCUACGGGAGGCAGCAGUCGGGAAUUUUGGGCAAUGGGCGAAAGCCUGACCCAGCAGCGCCGCGUGAAGGAUGAAGUAUUUCGGUAUGUAAACUUCGAAAGAAUGGGAAGAAUAAAUGACGGUACCAUGUAUAAGGUCCGGCUAACUACGUGCCAGCAGCCGCGGUAACAC
rnacentral:rRNA from 1 species